rnacentral:lncRNA from 1 species
GCCUCAAGCCAUCAGUGUGCGGCCACCCCCCUAAGAAUGCCAUGUUGGCUUGGCGGCACAAUGUGUGCCCUCCGGUAUUCCUUUGAAACUUCCAGGUCUUAUUUUUGUUCAAAAAUAAUCAAAAAGUUUCGGGGUAUUUGGACUUUGUUUGAUACAGUAUAAAAGGCCAAAACAUGCAGAAAAUAACAACUGGCUUGUCACUGGGUUAAUGGUUAGUGCUUCAAAAUAAUAUAAAGAAGUAAGUAAAUGCUUAAAUGUGUUAUUAAAUGAUAAUAUAAUAGCAUGAAACAAUAAAAAGUUAUAGAUACAUUGGAGACGUAUCAGUUAUCAAAGCAUACCCACUCACUCAAGGAAAUGAUCGAGGCAAUCAAAGCCUUGGUUGGGGAAAACACUGAAGACAUUGUAGUCCUUGGUGUGGCUCCAUUUUUCGUUGUUAGCCCGACCCCUGAGGUAAGUCGGCUCCUUUAUUUUGUCAAUACACUCUUUAUCUCCUUUUGACCCCUUUAAGAAAAAUGGCUUAUAUUUUUCAACAUGACAAUGAACAGUGGAAAACUGAUUAUCAAGCUCCUAAUCCCCUGAAGAGGAAGUAGAGAAGAUACAAAAUGGUGAGACAAAUGAGGCAAAGCCCGAUUUUUUGGGUUGGCUGUUUAUUGCACUUCCUGACACCGACUCUUCUCAGAGUUUCUUUGGUGGUGGUGAGCCGACAGAACAAGAGGUAAAUCCUAGUGUCUCUUGUUGAACCUGUAAUUCCACGGCCCGGUUUCAGUAGCUAGGUUUGCAUUUCUUCAGCCAACUGAAUAAACGGCCAUGUGGGCCGGUAGUCAGCUCCCGUUAGAAUAGCUCAUUUUCAGUUAGAAGUAGCUAGCUUGGCGCGGCCGUUGCUGGGCAUGGGAUGGCAUGCUGAAUACAGCCGGCGGCUCGCGCACAUCACCCGGAUCACGAGCGUCGUGGGAUGGCACGACCGGUAAGCUCGCGGACGUGGUUGAUCUUUCUCUGUAACGUUUACAAAUAAGAGUAAUAGAAGUGAGAAAAGCUGCAGUUGUUGCACGCAGCACCAAAAACCCUCUCCUCCGUCUACCUUCAGCCCUCUGCGAUCUGCGAGAGAGAGAGAGCACUCCGACGUCUUCGGUUCCAACAUCUCUUGCUCUAAGACUCUGGGCAAAAGGCAGGUCCGACUUGUUGUUUGAAAGGUACCAUUUUCACACACAUCCGCUUAUAUGGAUACCCACUUACCUUUGAAGAUAAUUCAGCAUGCCGAGAGCAAGAAAAGGAAGACCCAGAGUUCCGACUCAGUGGAUCUUCACGAAGGUCUCUCUCUGGAGCCAUAUCCAUGUCGGGAUUGUAGGUAUGAAAAAUCAAGUCCUUUUGCUUCCUGUCCUCGAUCCGUGCAAAUGAAGGCACCGAUGAGUCCUUCAAACCCAGCGUUUGUGGCUUCCUCACCUUCAUCUCGCGCCUCAAGCACCAAUGCCGACUUUACCAUUAACGUUGGGUUAGCCGACACUUCAAUUGUAACAGUAAUAAUUUGCAAAUGUCUCCAUACCUUAUAUGUAUUCCUUUAUCUUUUUGAACAGGGCCAAGGCAACACUCAAGGAAAAGACGACUCCUUCCAUAGCCGCUAGUGCUGGAGCAGAGACAAUAAGCUGUGGUGGUGCUGUCAUGAACACUAGUGAGUCGGCAAGGACUGAGCUAGCCCAAGGUACUCCCUUCCAAGAUGAGCCGAUCUUGGAUGACUCAGUCCUUCAAGACCAACAAGAGGCAAUGAUGGAUGUGGUGAUGGAUAACAUGCCACCAGCCAUGGCCAGUCCUAAGCCGGUGGAAGAUGAGGUGGUGGUUACUCAUACUAAACACCAUACUCCACCCAAGACUUUGACAGUUCUGGUGAAAACUACAGUGGAACAUAACUCGGCUCCACCUAGUGAGCCGACUCAUGACGCCCAUCUCGAAUAAUAUGAAGACAUGGGUUUAUCAUCCCUUCACCAUGAGUAUGUAGAGGCAGAGCCUAUCAGCAUUUGUGUCGGCGCAGCAACUGUCAAUUCUUGAAAAAAUGAUUUUUCGCUUUGGUUACCCACACAACGUUAUCAUUUAUAAUGGCACCAACUUGUCCAAAUAAGCUAUGAAGCAGUUUUGCGAGAAGGAGCACAUCCGACUAGAUCUGGCCUCUGUAUCACAUCCGUAGUCUAACGGUAAAGCAAAGUGCCAAUCACGAACAAUUGCAUGGGAUUAAGCCAUGACUCAUGGUUCCCCUUGAGCGCACUCAUGGAUUGUGGGUUGAGGUGUUGGAAAUAUGCCCUAGAGACAAUAAUAAAUUGGUUAUUAUCAUAUUUACUUGUUCGUGAUAAUUGUUUAUUAUCAAUGGUGUAAUUGUAUUGGCCGAAAACUCAGAUACAUGUGUGGAUACAUAGACAACACCGUGUCACUAGUGAGGAUCUAUUAGAGUAGCUCAUUGAUCAAAGAUGGUUAAUGUUUCUAACCAUAGACAUGAGUUGUUGUGUGAUAAUGAGAUCACAUCAUUAGGAGAAUGAUGUGAUGGAUAGGACCCAACCGUAAGCAUAGCAUUUAAUCGUAUCCUAAGUUUAUUUC